rnacentral:rRNA from 1 species
UACGUAGGGGGCAAGCGUUGUCCGGAAUCAUUGGGCGUAAAGCGCGCGUAGGCGGCCCGGUAAGUCCGCUGUAAAAGUCCAGGGCUCAACCCUGGAAAGCCGGUGGAUACUGUCGGGCUAGAGUCCGGAAGAGGCGAGUGGAAUUCCUGGUGUAGCGGUGGAAUGCGCAGAUAUCAGGAGGAACACCGAUGGCGAAGGCGGCUCUCUGGGACGGUACUGACGCUGAGGCGCGAAAGCUAGGGGAGCAAACGGG